GUGCACUGAACAGAGGCAGCAAGUGAGCAGAACAACUCAUCAUGACGGCUUUUUGUCCUUGUCUCCAUGCAAGCCAGGUGUUAUUUCUGUGGUUUCGGACGUUGGUAUUGAUGCACGGUUUUUUAAAAGGGGAGGCUAAAGUCCCAGAGUUUGGUAGACUGCACCUCUCCAGAUGAGAUUUUAAGAGCCCCCGAUUUUCACACAUGGGGAGAGUGAUUGCCCUCACAAACUCUUCCUCCUCAUUGUGGUUUCUAGGUUUUCACUUUGUCAGACAUUUUGAGUUUCGAUCACAAACACUCCACGUUCACAUCACCCAUGCAUGCUGCCCACCCGUAUCCACAAGGCUGCUGUGUCUACUCUGCUCCUGUUUUCCAAAGCACCCCUUCCAUCAGGAAAUGUGCCUUCCAUUCCUAGGGAUGUCAUGAUUCCCAGCUUUCAUAUCUCCUCACAGAGGAGGUUCCCAAAUUACUCUGGGUUCUCAGUCCAGAAGUUGAGCCUUUAAAACCCUUUUCUGUCAUAUGGUCAGUCCGUUGCAGGGUGCAGCCCCUCAGCAGCCAAGAUUCCCUGUGGAUAGCUCUUCAAUCUGAUUGCCUGGGCUUUCUCCAUCAUGAAACCUUUCAUCUCCUUGGUCCUUGUCACACACCCUGAACCCCAAAAUAGAAAAGCCACAACAGAAUGAAGUAGAUGAGAAACAAUCUCCUUGUUUAUAAUUCCGUUUAUUUCCUCACAUACCAGCCAAGCUUCUCAGUCAGGCAGACACAAUAGAUGGAAUGGCAAGGGAAGUGAAGAGUGGAGGCUGCAUCCCUUCAGCCGCCAGCUGAUGUUCUGCUUAUUUCGCAUACCGGAACUCCCAGGCGUCCUCAAACCACAAUCACAGUUGUUGGUUCCAGAAACAUCUUCUUUGGAAAAACAUGUGACAUCAGUUUCCUCAGAGUCUUCCGGACAAUCCAGUCACACAGAACUGACAAAACCUUGUCAGGUGAGAAGAUAAGGAUCUUCUUCAAUACAGAAUAUGUCAACAUCUCCUUCUGAAUAGUUCCGUUUAUUUGCUCACAUACCAGCCAAGCUUCUCAGUCAGCAGGCACAAUAGACUGAAUAGGAAGGGAAGUGAAGAGUGAAGUCUGGAUCCGUUUAGCCUCCAGCUGAUGUUCUGCUUAUUUCCUGUACUGGAACUCUCAGAAGUCCUCAAACCACAAUCACAGUUGUUGGUUCCAGAAACAUCUUCUUUGGAAAAACAUGUGACAUCAGUUUCCUCAGAGUCUCCCGGACAAUCCAGUCACGCAGAACUGACAAAACCUUGUCCAGUAAGAAGGUAAGAAUCUUCUUCAAUAGAGAAUACGUCAACGUCUCCGUGAACGAAGAGAUCUGCUGGUUCCAAGGACUUGUCGUGGAUUUCUGUCCUAGAUACUUUCUUCCGUAAUUCAAGAUAAAGAAAAUUACAAUCUCUGCUGUCCAUUCCAUCGCUUUUCCCUUCAGAAUCAUAAUCAGAGAAUCCUUGCAGAACGUCGUGAGUGUGCUCUCAGCUGCAAUCACCAGAAGGACUCUUCACACUCGGUGAGUCCUCCUCAUUUUAUAGAAGCCAAAGCAGUGACGUAUGCUCACCCCUCCCGCCCCCAGGAGAGAGGUUGCUGGCCAAUGAGCUUGAGCUUCGUCAUCCUUCCAAGCCCCACCCAGUUCCUUUGCUUCCCUUUCACCAACUUUGACUGAAAUGAAUAGGUUACAACCUUUAGCUUUCUGCCCCUUGGAAAACGGAAGCAUUUAGACAUCCGUAUUAAUAUUUGGAUCUAGAGUGUUCGUGUUUUAGCACUUCCUUUUUUGAAAGGAGAAGCAGACGUGUUGUGUUUUUAGGAACACUUCCAAGAAGUUUCUCCUCCUCUAUGAUGAAACCAACACAAGAAAGCCAAAAGGGCGUUUAACCCCUUGAAGCACUGAGAGUUUCCCUGCUGAUAUUCUUAGACUGUUCUUUUUCUAAAACGAGAAAGAGGUAAGUUCUCUUUUUUUUUUUACACUGCCCAAAACUCUCUCUGCUCAGUGCUGGGCACUGGAAAACAAUGGCCCUCUCUCUGGAAACCACUAUCUGCCAUCUCAAGGGCCCACUACAGGUCUGCCCAGCAUUUUCAUCCCUUCCUCAAGUCUGGUGCCCAGGACCCUCCUCUGCUCUGACAGCCAGGCAGCAGCACUCAAACUCCCCUCCCCUCUUAGCCUUCAUACCUUCAGCUGCACUUCUGCCUCUGCAGUGUCAGGAUGACCUCCCCUUCCUCCUGUCCUUCCUCAUUCUUAAGACUUCCUACCCCUUCUGGAUUAAUUUAUGGAAAACCUAAAUAAUCUCUUUCAAAUUUUAGCCCACUUUUUACAUGUAGAUUGUUUUAUAAGAUGAAUUUUAACAAACCUUUUCUAAGUUGUUCAACCAUUUUCUUUUGUCUUUUUGUUAUUUUAUUUCCUGAAUUUAAAAUAUUUGAAAACCUCUAAACUUGACAAAACUAAUUUUUUCAUAAAAGCUAUGUUCUCAUGUCCUUUUAUAAACUUUGACUUAAAAUAUAUUUUACUUGUUCAGUCAGAUUUGUGUGUGAAAAUUUUUAAGUAGCUUUAGAUACAAAUAUUAAUUAUAAUGGUAACUCUUAAGUAUGCAUUUUUAGUAAACCACUUAGGAGACAACCAAUUUUAAUUAUGUCCUUGAUGUAGAGCUUAAAGAAAAAGAUGGAGCUGUAGAAAACAUCUUAGUCUUGAAAUAUCUUACUCUUCCCAGUAUAAGGGGGGGCAUGGCCCUAUUUCACAGGUGCCCAGGCCUUAGCUAGAAAUGGAUGGUUCCAAGACAUGUCAAAAAACUGUUUGAAAGGUUUUAGAAGUUGUUAAUGACAUGAAAAUAUUUAGUAAAGGCAGUAUUUGAUCUGUCUAAUUUGGAUCCAAUAUCUAAACUCUGAAGACAUAUUUAUUUUAUUUUGCUAAUUUUAAAAGUGGCUUUAUUUUUUAAAAUAAUGUUUAUGUUUCUUUCAAUAGUGUGUGGAAUAUAUGUGGUUUUUGGUUAUGUGGAUAAAAGUUCCUUAGUGGUAAUUUCUGAGAUUUUGAGGCAUCUGUCUCCUGAGCAGUGUAUAAUAUACCCAAUAUGUCAUCAUUUAUUCCUCAUCCCCCUCCCAACCUUUCCCCGAGUCCCCAAGUCCAUUAUAUCAUUCUUAUGCCUUUGCAUUCUCAUAGCUUAACUCUCAUUUAAAAGUGAAAACAUUCAAUAUUUGAUUUGCCAUUCCUCAGUUACUUCACUUAGAAUAAUGGCUUCCAGUUCCAUCCAACUUGUUGCAAAGGACAUUAUUUUGUUCCUUUUUAUUAUCAAGUAUUAUUCCAUGGUGUACCACAUUUGCUUUAUCCACUCGUUCGUUGAUGGGCACUUAAGUUGGUCCCAUAUCACUGCAAUUGCGAAUCGGCUGCUAUAAACAUCCAUAUUCUUGUGUCUUUUUUAUGGAAUAACUUCUUUUCCUUUGGGUAGAUAGCCAGUAAUGGGAUUGCUGGAAUGAAUGGUCUACUUUUAGUUCUUUAAGGAAUCCCCAUACUGUUUACCAUAGUGGUCGGACUAGUUUAAAUUCCCACUAGCAGUGUCAAAGUGCUCCCUUUUGACCACAUCUAUGCCAACAUCUAUUGUUUUCUGACUUUUAAAUUAUGGGCUUCUAGCAAGAUUAAGAUAGCAUCUCAUUGUGGUUUUGUUGUGGGAUUUAGGAGGAUGAGAGAGAGGCUUUGGGUUAAAACAGGAGAAUCUUUUAUUGAGUGCUCUCAGGCCCAGCAGACUCACGUCCAAAGACAGGGCCUGGAACAAAGACAGCACUUGACUUUUAUACACACUUCACAAAAGGGGGUGGGCCAGCUUGAAGCAAGCUUACAGUGGUGUGAAAGCAGGGAUACAGAGGCAGGAAAAAGACAGUUAAUCAAAUUGUAACAGGUUCAUAACUCAGGAUUGCACAUAACUGUUGCUAUGCAACCCAGAUGUCUAUUAUCUAGGUUUUGCUCUAAAGAGGCUUGCAUUGGUUUAUCUUCACUAUGGUGCCUAGAGAGCUGUAGUUCAGGCCUGCUCAGGCUUCUCAUGACCUUUGCCAUACUUCUUAGAUAAAACAGAAUACUUGAAGUUACUAGUUAAAGAGAACAAGAAUCUAUAAACUCAUACCAUAAAACAAAGGAAAAUUUGUUUUUCUUCUCCCUACAUUGAAGGAGUGCUGGAAGAGUCUCCAGAAUACAAUAAAUAAUAUUAUCAAGACUUUUCCUGGGUCUGGGCUGUGCCUGUUGCUGCCUCUGGGACAAGUUAGCUUAAUACAAGAAAGCUUAUUUCCCUUUCUUUUUAAUUUUAUUUUUCUUUAAUUUCCCACCUCAGUUUUACUUUGCAUUUCCCUGAGAAUUUUUAAUAAGUAAAAUACUUAGAAAUAUACUUAACCAAGUAGGUUAAUGUAAGUUUCCUACAAGGAAAACUACAAAAUAGUGCUGAAAGAAAUCACAGUUGACACAAACAAAUGGGAACACAUUAUAAGCUUAUGAAUAGGUAGAAUCAAUAUUGUGAAAGUGACCAUACUCUCCAAAGCCAUCUACAGAGCAGUAGAAUUCUCAUCAAAAUAUCAUCAUUCUCCUUCCCAGAACUAGAAAAAAGAAUCCUAAAAUUUAUACAAAACCAAAAACGUGACCGCAUAUCCAAAGCAAUACUUUGCAAAAAGAACAAAUCUGAAGGCAGGCUUUAAAUUAUACUACAAGGCUACAAUCACCAAAAUAGCAUGAUACUGGUAUAAAAUAUGCACAUAGAGCAAUAGAACAGAAUAGAGAACCCAGAAAUAAAGCCAAAUGCUUACAGACAACUAAUCUUCAACAAAGUACACAAAAACAUUAAUUGGGGAAAGGAUACUUUAUUCAAUAAAUGGUGCAGGAAGUAUAAAAAUAGGCACAUAGAGCAAUGGAACAGAAUAGAGAACCCAGAAAUAAAGCCAAAUGCUUACAGACAACUAAUCUUCAACAAAGUAUGCAAAAACACUAAUUGGGGAAAGGACACUUUAUUCAAUAAAUGGUGCAGGAAGUAUAAAAAUAGGCACAUAGAGCAAUGGAACAGAAUAGAGAACCGAGAAACAAAGCCCGGUACUUUCAGUCACCUGAUCUUUAACAAAGCAUAUAAAAACUUCCAUCUAAGACCUGAAAGUCUAAAAAUGCUACAAGAUAGCAUCCAAAAAGCUUUUCUAGACAUUGGCUUAGGCCAAGUAGUCAUGACUAAUGCCCCAAAAGCAAACGCAAAAAUAUAAAAAUAGAAUAAGAUCAAUAGGACCUAAUGAAACCGAAAAUCUUCUGCAAGGCAGAAGAAAUAUCAGCAGGGUAAACACACAACCCACAGUAUAGGAAACAGUAGUCACAAACUAGGCAUCUGACAAAGGACUAAUGUCCAGACUCCAAAGGAACUGAAAGAAAUCAGCAAGAAGAAAAGGUGCCAUUUACCACCUUCCUGACUCAUUGGCCAGAACCAAUGUUAGUGGAAUUAACAUAUGCCCCACCCCAAGUGACUUCUAAAGGGCUAACUCACCACAAGGGAGUCAGAGCAGAUCUUGGACUGAGACCUACAGGACACAGCGACUCUUAAAUAGGUGGCUCACCAGGAGAAAGGCAUAGCAGAACCUGGACUGAGACCUACGGGAGACAGGCAGACACACAGGAGGUUGGACGUCGAGAGGAGCACAUCAGUGCAAGAACACAUGGGUGGCUGCCACUUCUCUCCCUUUCCUGAGAGGGAAAAACUCUCGACGCUGAGAGGAAUCCACCAACAGGCACCAGCACUCUGGCAGGCCACCGACCAAUGGAUUGACAUAGAGUUUGGCUGGGGCAGCCAGAGGAGAGCCUGGGCCGCUGAAUAACCCGACUUCAGGGGAAAACUAUUCUCCCUUUUGGCUCCCCCAUCUGCUGAGAGCUACUUCCACUCAAUAAAACCUUGCACUCAUUCUCCAAGACCACGUGUGAUUUGAUUUUUCUGGUACACCUAGGUAACAACCGCGGGAUACAGAAAGCCCUCUGUCUUUGGGUUAAGGAAUGGGUCUAAUUGAGCUGGUUACCACAAAGCCACCUAUAGAUGGCAAAACUAAAAGAGCACAUGGUACCACAUGUCCACUGGGGCUUCAGCAGCUGUAAACAUCUACCCCUAGAUGCUGCCAUGGGGUUGUAGCCCCACAACUUGCCAGUCUGUAUGCUUCCCUAGAGGUUUGAGCAGCGGAGUACUAAAGAAGCAAGCCACACCCCCACUCCACCUCCUGUGAGGGGGACAAGGAAACUUUUCCCAUUUCAACUGGUGGCUCGUCUGGGAUCUCGGAAGAUCAUCCUGGCCUGCUAAGACCCAUCCUGUGCUUAUAAAAACCCCAAGACCCUAGCAGUCAGACACACAGGAGGCUUGACGUCGAGAGGAGCACAUCAGCGGAGGAACACACAGGCGGCUGGACAUGAAGAGGAACAUGACAACAGGCACCAGCACACCAGCAGGGCACCGACUUAUAGAACGAUGUGGAUUUUGCCUGGGGCAGUCAGAGGAGAGCCAGGGCUGCUGAACGGCCCCAAUCCAGGGAGAAACCAAUCUCCUUUCUGGCUCCCCCAUCUGCUGAGAGCUACUUCCACUCAAUAAAACCUUGCACUCAUUCUCCACGUCCACGUGUGACCUGAUUCUUCUGGAAUGCCAAGGCAAGAACCCUAGGAUACAGAAAGCCCUCUGUCCUUGUGAUAAGGAAUGUGUCUAAUUGAGCUAGUUACCACAAGUUGCCUAUAAAUGGCAAAACUAAAAGACCACACGACCACUGGGGCUUCAGGAACUGUAAACAUCCACCCCUACACACUGCCAGUAUGAGAAAAAUUUGCUGAUAUGUUUUCUGCUGACCUGAUGACAAUGUUCCUAUGGUCACACUAACCACUGCUGGGUAAUUUUCAUCAUGACUCUCGUUUUCAUCUGCUGAAACCAGCCUCCCCAAGAAAGACAACUAUUUUCAAACUGAGGAAAUAAAGUGUUACUAAACCACAGUGUUCUCUCAUGGCUGUUCCUGGAGUUCUUCAAAACACUUGAUAUUAUAAAAUAGAAUUAUUACAGAUCACUGUAUGUUAUGGAUUUAGUCAAAAUGAUAAUUUAAAAUAUGGUUUAAAAUAAAAAACUUUAUUUUCCAAAGAAGAUAGUUUUUUAAACAAGAAUAUCCAAUAAAGACAGUAUGAGGUCAGCUGACUUUAGUGUUGGUGUAUGUGUAUGUGUGUGUGUG
rnacentral:lncRNA from 1 species